UUUAAGCACAGCCAUGAGUUUCCGAGUCCAACUUUGAUCGUCCGUCUUAUUUGAAAAUUCUUUUUUGAUUAGUAUUUUUAUUGUUAUUAGAUAAAAUAUGAAUAGUAUUUUAUGCGUGACUUAUGUUUUUUAAUUUUUUCAAAUAAGACGGAUGAUUAAAGUUGGACACGGAAACUUAUGGUUGCGCUUAAA
rfam:Oryza punctata chromosome 4, whole genome shotgun sequence.